UCUUGAUUUUGCUCAGAGCAAAAUUGGAGUUGAUGAUGAUCAGUGUAGUGUUGUGAACUUGGAGUUUAAGAAUGAAAGACUACUGAGACAAAUUCAUUAAAGGAAUUACUGGUCAGUAUUCUUUAUAAUCAACUCUAACUUUCUGUAUAACAUUCUUUAUAUGAAUGAGUUGUUACAUAAAUAAUUAAAUAUAUACCGUUACUUUUAGUAAAAUGGUCUUAAUUUAAAUCGGUCUUUAUUAUACUUUAUUAGCAUGUUAUCACGUUGACUUAUGAGUUAUGCGUAGACUAAUAUAUGCAUUUCGGCUUCAUCAAACCAAAUUGUCACCAAAUCUGUCUGCCUUAAAAUUGAUAAAAACAGCUACCCAAUAUUUCUUGAUCUGAUCUACAUAGUCUCGGACCAUAAAAUUGUGAACUCCCACCUGCCUUUGGUUUGUGACUUUUAUUCAAUAUUUGUUGAAAGAAUGGGGAAAGCAUCUGUCCAUGUAUUGUUUGUAGAGGUAAAUACCUAUUGUCAUUUUAUAUUUUGUUCUAAUUAAUGAUUGGGAUACUGUUUACAUUUUAUAUACGAAAUAAUGGCUGAAACAUUCCCUAUGCAUCUUAUGCUAUAAAGCAUGGAGUACUUCUAAAAUGGUGAAGUACCCAUACUGGGUGCUUACCCGGUACUGGGACUCGUACCAUAUUUGUGGGUAUUCUGUUUUUAUUUAUUUUAUUUCGGGUGAAAUUCAUGAUUUUGUUAUAUAUUAAUAUAAUGUUAUUUGUUUAUUUGAGUUUAUUUAUUUUUGUAAUCGAACAUAAUUUGUGAUUUGUUAGACAUUUAUUUUGAUUUUGUAUUGUGAAUUGAACAAUUUAACUCUCUAAGUUAAAUUAUAUAAAAAAAUUAAUGUUUUUCAUUGAUGUAUCCAUACCUUAAUUUUUUUUAAAAAAAUACCAUAUCACGUACUCGUACCAGUACCUGAUACUAGUACCGUACCUAUGCGUCAUAGAUCUUAUGCUCAUACAAUUUUCAUGCCACUGUAUUGAUGUUACCAUAUAUUUCCUCUGAUUAUGAUAUCAUUGUGCAAACAUAUCGGUCUGUGAACAUGAGUUUGAAGUAGAGGUUGUGUCGUUGGGUUGGGCUCUAUGCUCACUAAGCUUGAUUCUGAUUUGCAACGGAAAAUUAGGUGCACAUGCUUGAAGUGUGGUAAUGAGAAAUUCGAAAUAGUCAUUAUGGAUCAAGCUGGAAAACAGUUAAAGUGUAGGAUUAGUUGAGGAAGCCGGAAUGACAAAUCAAUGGAUUGAUUUAUUUAUAUAGGGAUUUGAUAUAUGAAUACUUUAUUUGCUCGACAUAGUAAAGACAUCAACAACUUUCUCUUUUUAUUAUGAGCAUUUUAAGAUUCCCUUCAUUAAGUGGCUACAAACCUUUUUGUGAAUCACCAAAACAAAAGUAAUAAAUGACUUUAUUACUUUUUUUUUAAUUGAAAUUAAUUUAGUAUAAUUUCAUGAAAAACUUGAAUCUAAAAUAGAUUUUCUUUCUUCAGUAACGGUACCUGGUCGCAUAUGCAAGAGUGAAGUGAUCAUUAUAUUUUUUUUUAGUUUUCUUACUUUUAUGGUCGCAUGUGCAAAAUUGAAAUGGUCAUUAUAUUUUUUUAGUUUGCUUACUUUCAUUUCUACGGGUUAAGUGGAAAUUAUAUGCUUUGAUUGCUCAUUGCUCAUUCAGGUUAGGACUAAAAACUAACAUCUUUAGAUUCUCACCAUUUGUCAAUAUGUUUUCUGUUUUUUAUCUACCUAAUCCAGCAUGCCUUAAAUUAUUUAGUACUUGGGUUACACAUUAUAUUAAAGAUUUUUUAUAUAGGUUUGAAGUGGGACACAUGAGAUUUUGCCUCUAGGAGCGAAACUAUUUACUACUUGGGUUUGCACUCUGCAGAUGUGUCAGUAUAAUACUAUAGUUGACUAUCCUGCUUUUCCAUGUAUUUUAUUUGACUAAACAAAUAUUUAUUCAAUUUCAUCAACUUCAAUUAUUUG